AUCUGUGCUCGACCUUUUGGCGAAGAUCAAGUAUAGUCAUGUGCUGCUCAGUCAAACCUGUCCUUUUGGAAUCCCGUCCUUGCUGUGCAUUGAUUGCAAUAUUUUUUAAAUAAGGGGCUGGAUUCAUCCACCCAUAUGUAUCGACCUGGUAUUACAGUACCUCCAGGACUGGUGCACGAAUA
rnacentral:snRNA from 1 species